CAGCAGGCGCCAAAGUCCGCUACAGGCAGCAGGCUCGGUGAGGAGAGCGGCCACUCAGGACGGGGUGCAACGGCAAAUGGCACCCAGCGGCCUGAGAGCACAGGGUUGAUGGCGAGCAUACCCCACCCUUCAGGCAGCCACCUGCGCUUUGAUAGCAGCGGUGAGGAAGACAUGGCAGACUGCCCGCUGGAGGACAGCGAGGUCAUAGCGCAGCUGCAGUUUGAGCAGGACGCAGCUGGCAGGCCAUUCAUCAUCGUGUCCAAUCAGACACACAACGGAUACAAUGAAGCAGACUCCAGAAGGGAGCAUCGCGGCAAUGCUGGUGCUGCCAGGCGA
rnacentral:lncRNA from 1 species